CAGCCUUCUCUGAAUCUACACCAGUAAGUCUCUGGUUUUCUUUUCUUAAACCAGACCAAAUGUUUUUCUGUCACUUGCAUCCACAAAAGUCCUGACAAGGAUAGCACCUUGAAGGCCCCGCAGCAGCAGCUGCCCCUUAUGUGCGCCAACUCAGCGUGGCCAUCCACAGACGAGCCAGCACUAUGCUGCACGCGGGCCCUCCUUCAGCUUCCUCAGCAAACCCUCACCAAAGGCCCCCUGGCGGGUCCAGUGCCAAGUCCGGGACAGAGGUAGAAGCUGCAGGCCACGCAGCCAGCACACGCAACGGCCAGGACCAAAUCACCCUGAGCAAAUCCAGCCAGGCAGCCUCAACGCCAG
rnacentral:lncRNA from 1 species